CCGAGGGGAGGCAGCAUGUUUCCACACCUGUAAGGGUACACUACACCUGACAGGACUGCUUGCCACGGCCCUGAGGCACAGAUCUUAACGAGAAGAGAGUUUCAAAGCUGCACUGCAGAUGCACAACAUUCUCUGCUCGCCUCAGAAAAAUCAAGCGUCUCCUUCCGGAGAACAGAAGGUCAACAGUUGCCGGCUGUGACAGGUCGCUAACCCGCCG